GCCUAACACAUGCAAGUCGAGCGGCAGCACGGGAAGCUUGCUUCCUGGUGGCGAGCGGCGGACGGGUGAGUAAUGCAUAGGAAUCUGCCCGGUAGUGGGGGAUAACCUGGGGAAACCCAGGCUGAUACCGCAUACGUCCUACGGGAGAAAGCAGGGGCUCUUCGGACCUUGCGCUAUCGGAUGAGCCUAUGUCGGAUUAGCUGGUUGGUGAGGUAAUGGCUCACCAAGGCGACGAUCCGUAGCUGGUCUGAGAGGAUGAUCAGCCACAUCGGGACUGAGACACGGCCCGAACUCCUACGGGAGGCAGCAGUGGGGAAUAUUGGACAAUGGGCGCAAGCCUGAUCCAGCCAUGCCGCGUGUGUGAAGAAGGCCCUCGGGUUGUAAAGCACUUUCAGUGGGGAAGAACGCCUUCCGGUUAAUACCCGGGAGGAAAGACAUCACCCACAGAAGAAGCACCGGCUAACUCCGUGCCAGCAGCCGCGGUAAUACGGAGGGUGCGAGCGUUAAUCGGAAUUACUGGGCGUAAAGCGCGCGUAGGUGGCUUGAUAAGCCGGUUGUGAAAGCCCCGGGCUCAACCUGGGAACGGCAUCCGGAACUGUCAGGCUAGAGUGCAGGAGAGGAAGGUAGAAUUCCCGGUGUAGCGGUGAAAUGCGUAGAGAUCGGGAGGAAUACCAGUGGCGAAGGCGGCUUCUGGACUGACACUGACACUGAGGUGCGAAAGCGUGGGUAGCAAACAGGAUUAGAUACCCUGGUAGUCCACGCCGUAAACGAUGUCGACUAGCCGUUGGGUCCUUCGCGGACUUUGUGGCGCAGUUAACGCGAUAAGUCGACCGCCUGGGGAGUACGGCCGCAAGGUUAAAACUCAAAUGAAUUGACGGGGGCCCGCACAAGCGGUGGAGCAUGUGGUUUAAUUCGAUGCAACGCGAAGAACCUUACCUACCCUUGACAUCCUGCGAACCCUUCGGAGACGAAGGGGUGCCUUCGGGAACGCAGAGACAGGUGCUGCAUGGCUGUCGUCAGCUCGUGUUGUGAAAUGUUGGGUUAAGUCCCGUAACGAGCGCAACCCUUGUCCCUAUUUGCCAGCGAUUCGGUCGGGAACUCUAGGGAGACUGCCGGUGACAAACCGGAGGAAGGUGGGGACGACGUCAAGUCAUCAUGGCCCUUACGGGUAGGGCUACACACGUGCUACAAUGGUCAGUACAAAGGGUUGCGAACUUGCGAGAGUGAGCCAAUCCCAGAAAGCUGAUCUCAGUCCGGAUCGGAGUCUGCAACUCGACUCCGUGAAGUCGGAAUCGCUAGUAAUCGUGAAUCAGAAUGUCACGGUGAAUACGUUCCCGGGCCUUGUACACACCGCCCGUCACACCAUGGGAGUGGACUGCACCAGAAGUGGUUAGCCUAACCUUCGGGAGGGCGAUCACCACGGUGUGGUUCAUGACUGGGGUGAAGUCGUAACAAGGUAGCCGUAGGGGAACCUGCGGCUGGAUCACCUCC
rnacentral:rRNA from 1 species